UACGUAGGUGGCAAGCGUUGUCCGGAUUUAUUGGGUUUAAAGGGUGCGUAGGCGGCUUUGUAAGUCAUUGGUGAAAUAUGGCAGCUCAACUGUCAGGGUGCCAUUGAUACUGCGGAGCUUGAGUACAGAUGAGGUAGGCGGAAUUGACGGUGUAGCGGUGAAAUGCUUAGAUAUCGUCAAGAACACCGAUAGCGAAGGCAGCUUACUAGGCUGUAACUGACGCUGAGGCACGAAAGUGUGGGGAUCAAACAGG
rnacentral:rRNA from 1 species